GCCGAAAGAAGGCAAAAUCACACAUGUGCCGUCACAGGUGUCGGGGUGCUAUUAGGUCUGGCCUAAUUAGUCGACAACUGGGGUACGUGGAGGUUCAAC
rfam:Methylophaga aminisulfidivorans MP 54_1, whole genome shotgun sequence.